CUUUCUUUUCUCUCCCCCUUUUCAUAGUGUAGACUCCUGGACCAUGGGAUGGUGAUGCCCAGCUUCAAAUUUGUUAUCCCCUCUUUGAUUUAUCCUUGAUGGGAUUGCCCUCACAGACACACCCAGAAGUGUGGCAUCACCAACUUCUUAGGUGAUUCUAAACCUAGUCAAGAUGAUAAUGAAGAUCAACCAUCACAGCGCAUCACCCACCAGAGGUAUCGGAAAAGAAAGGAUGUGGGGGAAGUGGACUUGUUUAGAAAUGGUUCCUUGGAGCAACUUCCAUCUGUGUUGUCUGGAAACUGGCCGUUCAGUUCACAGGUCAGCAGCAGCAGCUUGAUCCACUGGCAAACACUUCACGGAUACAUACACCAGCAGUUCAGUUCAGUAGAGUCAAGAUAGCAAACACAAUCAGCACCAGUGGCACUGCCUAGCAGAGACAUCCAAGCCUCAGCCUGGAUACAAGUCAGCAAGAGGGACCAGCAGGAACACCAGGAGUUCUCAGCUGUGCCUCUCUCAGCAAAGCAAAGAUCAAAGAUCAGCGAAGACUCAAGACCCAAGACAAGCAUUGCACCACUAGCUCUACACACAAGCUUAGCUCAGCCUCCGUCACUGUCCCUUGAGUUCGAUUUAUAUUCCCUCCAAACAUCACGUGUCCUCCACAGGUCUUACCUCAACAUGUGUCUUCCCUUGGUGUGUGCAUCCAUCUCAGCUGACAUCACUCUGCCAAUCACCUGGAGUCUGAAGAAACAGCACGAAAUUACAGCGCACCACCAGAAGUUCUCUCUAUGGAGUCCCAGUAAAUGGAGCUCAACUGCACAAUGUAAAGUGGACCGAUGCAGGCUUGUCGUUAGUGAAGCAUCCUUAGCAGAACAUCCUUUCCCUUAUGUCUGCUUCAAUGAAACAUUCCUUCACAAGUCUGCCUUAGCCUUCCACCUGUGUCCACUUCAAAACACCAUCCAACACAACUGGCUUUCCAAAGAUCCCUUAAGUUUCCACUUCAAGCAAGAUGUGUGGCUGCAUCCAAGUGACCACACUACAAGAUGUCUUCAGACACACCAGAAGAGAGCAUCAGAUCCCAUUACAGAUGGUUGUGAGCCACCUUGUGGUUGCAGGAUCUCUGGAAGAACAGUCAGUCCUCUUAACUAAGCCAUCUCUCCAGCCCAACACAGAGCAGUUGUGAUCCAUAGUUAAGUUGCUAAGUAUGGAAAACUAGUGUCUUAAGAGCACAGCCUGGAACGUGACCACAGAGAUCUGAUGUUGCAUUGCCAGUACACUGGUCUAGAGAGACAACCAGACUGAAGACGCUUGGACCCCCACCUCUCACAUGAGCCGUUCUCAUCCCUGACUUGAUUGCUUCCACCUGAUGGGUUAUGUAAGCAAGAAAUAGCCUCUUCCUUAUUCAAACCACUGACUUCUGGAAUGGGGAAAAUGCAAAGAAGAAAAUCACUUUCAUGUUACCCUUACGUCUUAUCUACUUCUCUUUCUGUGAAGGCACACCAUGACCAAGGCAGCUCAUGAAAGAAAGCAUUUAAUCAGGGGCCUGCUUACGGUUCCGUAGGGCUAGUCCAUGGUCAUCAUGGUGCGGGAGCAUGACGGCUGGGAUGGUGCUGGAGCAGUAGCUAAGAACUUACCUCCUGGUCCACAGAUAGGAAGCAGAAAGAGAACUAGGCUGGGCCAGAAGUGGGCUUUUGAAACCUCAUAGCCUACCUGCAGUGACACACUUCCUCCACCAAGGCCACACACAUACCUCUAAUCCUUUCUAAAGAGUCCAUCUAUUGGGAACCAAACAUUAAACUAUAUGAGCUUGUGACAGUCAUUCUCUUCUAAACCACUA